CUGACAGGCUGCACCUGGAAGUAAUUUGGCUGCCAGCGCUCACAAUCCCUCUUCGGCAGUAAUCCUCUGGGAUGUCAUUACCUAACCUGCCAUAAACUAACCUCUUCUCAGUCGCUGGCCUGCCCGGCUGCCUCACCGCUUCACUCCUGCCUGCCUACAUGCCAAACUCACUGGAACAUCUUGGACCUUCUCUGGACUCUCUCUCGGCUCACCCAGACCAUUUACCCCUUCGCACUUUGCGCCCGCCUGCAGAAAUUACAGUGACUCGGAACUCCCCGGCUCCGUGACUCCAGUCUAGCCUCUUCCUUACCUCCACGCCACAGGGUUCCUGUGCGGGCAGU